GACAGCCAUUACUCAUUAGAUAAUUGUGUUGAGUGGUUGUCAAAAGUUUUCCUAUUUUUCCAUGAAAAUUACCGAUGAAUUCAUAAGAAGGAACUGGAAAGGAAACAGUAGCAUACAAGUUGCCUACCAUCACUAACACCAACUCUUUUAUUAAAAAUCUUCGUUCUGCUGAAUGCAUCAUGCAGUUAAUACAGGUCACUACCCCAGUGUGGACAUGUUUGUUUUUCAACAAAUAAUUCAUUGACAUACAAGGAAAACUAUGAAAAAUAUCAUAUCAUCUUGGCCAAUCUUCAGGUUUAUUGCAGCAGCUUAAGAGAAGAAUAUGAACAAAUGCAGGGCAAAUACCAACAUGUGUUGUAUUUUUCUGAAUGUUAAACACAAGCAAUUCAACAUGACUAACUGUUUGAUGCCAAAGUUGGUUGGAACUCAACUCACUGUACGUACUCUAACACAGAAAACUGGUGCUGUUGCCUUUCAGCCACAGGCAGGAAAAUCAUUCUUUUCUUCAGAAAAUUGGAAAGCUGCUGGAGUAAUCUGGUGUUCAUGCUCAUUUGAUUCAUUUCGUGCCAGCUAGUGAAAGCCGAAAGGCAUGUCAAUUCAAUUGAGUUGCUCCGUGCUGUCUCGAAGCAAGCAAUC
rnacentral:lncRNA from 1 species